AUCACGAGCUGCAACAGCGAGGAUGUCAGCGCAUGAUACCACCUGCGGACAGAUACCCUCAAUCUGUGCUUUGAUGCUGUCAAUCACAUCAAAUCCACGUAUGGAGUUGUUGUUCGGAACAGCAGUCUUCUCCCCUGUGAAGAUUUGGUGAGACUUGCAUUGACAAAGCAGUCAUGGAAGUGGAGGCGGAGCAACGAUGCACCCAUGCGGUUCUCCUUUGCCACAGCAGACUUUACGGCUGUUUGGAUGGUGUACAGUGCAUUUGGGCAUGACUUGUCAUAGAAAUUUGCAGUAAGCUGAGCUGAAACCAAGCUUGCAGCAAAGAAGAAGGCCAAGACACUGCAAGCGAGGGGUUUAUGAGAAGCCAUUUAGCUCAGGGCUUCAGAGUGGUGUGUUGGCCAGUGUCAAUGUGCACAGAUAUUUAUAGGCUGAAUAUCUGCACAUGCUGAGUUUCUAACUUCUCUAUGCAAGUGGCUUUGGAUAUUCUUUAUUUUCUUCGUCAGGCUAAGUGGAGUGGUCUGUAACCGGAAAGCACAUUUACAUUAACUGAUGUGAUCGAGGCAUGCCUUCCCUGUA